rnacentral:lncRNA from 1 species
CAUGAAUGCUGUCCUUCCAAAUAUCUCUAGUUCUUCUCUGGGACACACGGUUGAUCUCUACUCUCCUUGCCCCUUUGAAUUAGGUGUGGUCAAGAGACCUGCUUGGCGCUCAGUGUGAGCAGAAGUGCUGUGUGUCGCUUCUCUGGGCUGCAGCUCUCCACAUCAGAUCUGCCACAUUUCUUCCCUCUACCAAGAUUACCAACAUCAUCAUCCCAGGUCACGGAAUGGGGACAACAGGGAGCAGAGCCCACAGCUGGCCCAGAUCCAAGACACAGCAUCAAGAAAGAACCCUUUGUUGCUUUCAUUCGGUCAGACUGUGGGGUUGUUUGUUACUGCAAUAGAACCUACUUCGUGCACCAUUUGAAGAAAGAAGGACAUGGGGCUGAGAACCUGGCUUGCUGCUUGAAGGGAGGAAAUAAAGCAGCAAGAGAGAGGAGAAAGAAGGGUCUGGACUCCCUGUCAUUAUUGCCUUUUUUAUGCUCUCCUACUCUUGUGCAUGUCACUACGAAGGACAACUCCAAGUACAGAGACUCUCAGCCAGAAUAUUUAAAAAACCAGAAGAUAAGCACAGAAAACCAUUUGCAAGUUCAUGGCAAAUAAACUAUAACACUGAUGCUAUCUGAAGGAGUGACCUGAAUCAACAUGAACUACUCACCAACGGCUGUAAUUCAUUCAUGGAUUUAAACUCAACCCAGGCACAAACAUAAAUUUUUAAUCUGCACCAGGACUGCAACAAGAGUUUGUUGUGUUUUAAAAAAAUCUGUCCAGCAACUUCAACCCAAAAUCUCAAAUUAGCUCCUCAAAAUGUACUAAACCAGAAAAAUAUUCCGAGCCAAACUCAUUUGAUUCAGUUACACCUCUGGUCUUGAGCCCCAUGACCCCUUGCCAAACUGUGUUGGGCAGCUCUAAUGGUCUCUGAGGACUAUGUGGAAAGUCUGCAGUCAUCUGUCUUCACGAGACUGUUUCCACUUCUCAGGCUCAUGGGAUACAUGUAAAAAUCCUUUGCUCAUUUUCUAAAAUCCGUUAAGCCCACCU